GCUUAUCUGAGCUUCACUGUCUACAGUUUUUUCCUCUUCAGUUACUUAAUCCAUUUAGACUUCAUUUUGGUGUAAAAUGCGAAGUCAGGAGCCAAUUAAAUUUUUUCUAGAGUCCAGCUGUGGUGGUGUAAAAGGGAUAUGGGGCAUUAAUGCACCUAUGCCUGGCAUUUUCAAGCAUCCAGGUCUGCGAUUAGAAUGGUAGAGUCAGCCAUGAAGGAUCCAGCAUCUGAACUACCAUGCCACCUUCUGGUUUUAACAAAUUUAUUAUUAAUCUAUCUUUUUGCCAUGCUAUGAUUUGAA